rnacentral:rRNA from 1 species
UGGGGAAUAUUGGACAAUGGGGGCAACCCUGAUCCAGCGAUGCCGCGUGAGUGAAGAAGGCCUUCGGGUCGUAAAGCUCUUUAGGUUGGGAAGAAGGAUAUGGGGGGAUAAUCCUCAUAUUUUGACGGUACCGACAGAAUAAGCACCGGCAAACUCUGUGCCAGCAGCCGCGGUAAUACAGAGGGUGCAAGCGUUAAUCGGAGUUACUGGGCGUAAAGGGCGCGUAGGCGGUGAUAUGAGUGUGAUGUGAAAGCCCCGGGCUUAACCUGGGAAGUGCAUCGCAAACGAUAUGACUGGAGUAGAUGAGAGGGUGGCGGAAUUUCCGGUGUAGCGGUGAAAUGCGUAGAGAUCGGAAGGAACGUCGAUGGCGAAGGCAGCCACCUGGCAUCAUACUGACGCUGAGGCGCGAAAGCGUGGGGAGCGAACAGG